rnacentral:lncRNA from 1 species
CAAAAGGCCUGUGUCUUGAGACAGAACAAGCAAUCGCAGAAGGGAUUACCUGUGACUUCAAGCCCUCAGUAGAAAUGUCAAAAUACACUUAGAGCAAAUUGAGCCUUGACUAAAAGCAGGUAUGUGCGCUUUGGCCACGAUGUCUCAUUGCAUCUGUUACAGGCAAUGCGUCAGCCAUGUCUCCAUCCAGCUGCUUCUGACUGUGAUGAAACAUGACACAGUUUGAUAACAAAAGGAUGUAAUACACCAUAAUGACUCCAGGCAGGCAAUUGCAUUGUGAUGGGGUGUGCUGUCAUGUAGUAGCAGGUGACAUACCUCUUCAAUCAGUCAUGGGCUAAUCGCUAAAGCCUCCAGUUUCAGUUCACUUUGGAAAAAAUCCUUAAGUCUUGAUGAUUAUUUUCCUCUGUACAUUUCAAUAUUGCAUCCUGCUGCACUCACCCUGGCUACCCUCCCCUCGUGCUGAAUUCCCAGGUAGUGGAUGAGGCCAUGCCAAUACCAACCAACCUGCGAAUGAACGCCUGGCAUGCAGGCUGGGCACAAACUGAUCCACUUUGCUGUGGAAUAUUUACGCAUUCACCCUUAAAAAUUAACAAAGAGAGUGCUGUGAAGUGCUGGUGCUCAGCUCCCAUCGCUCAGCAGGAUGUUGCGAGAGGCAAGAAAAAAUAGCAAGGAAACACGUCCCUCGCAUCUUCCCUUUCAACUUCAGCAGCAUGGGGAAGCAUAGCAACGUGCAGCAGAUGUGCUGAGACCUCAGCAAUCUCUUCCUCAUGAUUACAGUUGGUUAUACCUGGGGAUGUGCAAUUUAAUUCAGGCAUUAAUGUGCAAAGGAGAGUGGUACUAAAGUAAAAUAAGUGGUGCUAAAGGCUUUGUUCCGUCUAAAGUAAUACGGUGUUUUAUUUUGCUAGACCUGGCUCACGCAUAAAGAAAAGAGGCACAGUGAUACUCUGAUGAGUACUACAAAGUAAAUGGUAUUUUGUCUCAGUGUCAUUGUCAUAAAUAUCAUGAAAUUUCUUAUUUGAAGUUGGGAAGUAAUGAUUCUUCCUCCUUAACACGCAACAGUGACUCUGCACCCUAUUGUUUUCUACCAUUUGAGAAUGCCCAAAGAUGUCAUUAGAACUUCAUGCAUCAAUAUUAAACCUUUGCAAACAGUUGACUAAAUGAGCAGCUAUCUUGGUUUCUGAAAAUAGUGUACUUUUUUUUUUUAAUUCAUUUAUCAGUAACUAGGUGUAGUCAAUUGCUCUCCAGUAUUGAUCACAAUAUCUAUAGCAGUUGCAGAGUACCUUUGCUGAAGGUCAUCCUAAGGUCGAGUUAUGAUCAAUAUGAAUUGACUGUCUGCAAAUAAAUUUAAGUAGCUGACAUAACUGAAAGGAGUAUCUAUUUAAAAUUAAGGUGGACCAUGUGUCCCUGUGUUAGAAUUGCUCGUGGUCUUCAUAAGCACAGAGGAGGUACAAGCAGGCUGAAUGAGCUCCAUCAGUUCAGCAGUUUUUCAUACAAUUAGAGGUAGAUAACUCAGGAUGUAGUCCUGAAAACAUUUACUUGCAAGGAAAAAUAAAAUCCACAGUCUUCAAUCUCGUUUAUAUUGUGCUGACUCACUUGGGAUCAGACCCAUUGCACUUAAAGUAAAUUUUCCAAUAUUAAAAAAUAGACUCAUGCAGGAUCUCUGAAGUAGGAACUCUGAAGUUCCUACUAUGGGAUCUCUAGAGAAUCCAGGUCACAAUUCUUCAACAUCAAUACCUAUUGUUCUUCAGAUCCUAUUUAGACCCAUGUAACCUGCAUUUCUGAGCCCAAUGGGCUCCUCCUGGUUUUAACACUUAUUAAAAUACAUUAAAUGGAAGCCAAUGGUCUAAAAUUUGAUUUUUUUUUUGUUGUUAAUUCAAUAAUUUUUACAGUCUCUAUUGAAAUUUCAGAGAACAGAAAUCUGAGGAUCAUACAGUUUCUGGAAGAAAAUAAAGAAUGCUAGUGG